rnacentral:tRNA from 1 species
ACUCCCAUGGUGUAGUGGUCACUGCACUCACCUUGCACAUGAGAGACCCAGGUUUGAUUCCUGGUGAGAUCA